UCCGUAGGCGGUGCGGCAAGUCGGAAGUGAAAUCUCAGGGCUUAACCCUGAGGCUGCUUCCGAAACUGCCGUGCUCGAGUGCGAGAGAGGCGAGUGGAAUUGCAGGUGUAGCGGUGAAAUGCGUAGAUAUCUGCAGGAACAUCCGAGGCGAAAGCGGCUCGCUGGAUCGCAACUGAUGCUGAGGGACGAAAGCUAGGGGAGCAAACAGGAUUAGAUACCCUGGUAGUCCUAGCCCUAAACGAUCAGGACUGGGCGUGGGCCUCGUACGGGGCUCGUGCCGCAGCUAACGCGUUAAGUCCUGCGCCUGGGGAGUACGGUCGCAAGGCUGAA
rnacentral:rRNA from 1 species